CAAUACCGCGUGUGUGAAGAAGGCCUUCGGGUUGUAAAGCACUUUCAGCGAGGAGGAAGGCCAAGUAGUUAAUACCUGCUUGGAUUGACGUUACUCGCAGAAGAAGCACCGGCUAACUCCGUGCCAGCAGCCGCGGUAAUACGGAGGGUGCAAGCGUUAAUCGGAAUUACUGGGCGUAAAGCGCGCGUAGGCGGAUGAUUAAGUCAGAUGUGAAAGCCCAGGGCUUAACCUUGGAACUGCAUUUGAUACUGGUCAUCUAGAGUACAGAAGAGGGGGGUGGAAUUCCAGGUGUAGCGGUGAAAUGCGUAGAGAUCUGGAGGAACAUCAGUGGCGAAGGCGACCCCCUGGGCUGAUACUGACGCUGAGGUGCGAAAGCGUGGGUAGCGAACAGGAUUAGAUACCCUGGUAGUCCACGCCGUAAACGAUGUCUAUUAGCUGUUGGGUAUAUUAAGAUACUUAGUGGCGCAGCUAACGC
rnacentral:rRNA from 1 species